rnacentral:rRNA from 1 species
AUUGCACGCUGGCGGCAGGCCUAACCCAUGCAAGUCGAACGAGUGGCGGACUGGUGAGUAAUGUCUGGGAAACUGCCUGAUGGAGGGGGAUAACUACUGGAAACGGUAGCUAAUACCGCAUACCAUCGGAUGUUCCCAGAUGGGAUUGGCUAGUAGGUGGGGUAAAGGCUCACCUAGGCGACGAUCCAUAGCUGGUCUGAGCGGAUGACAAGCCACACGGGAGCUGAGACACGGGCCAGAGUCCUACGGGAGGCAGCAGUGGGGAAUAGUGGACAAGGGGCGAAAGCCUAAGGCAGCCAUGCGGCGUGUAUGAAGAAGGCCUUCGGGUUGUAAAGUACUUUCAGCGGGGAGGCGUUACCCGCAGAAGAAGCACCGGCUAACGCCGGGCCAGCAGCCGCGGUAAUAC